rnacentral:lncRNA from 1 species
CGGCUGCCGAGGGACACAGCGCAGGGCUGCUAACGAGCAGCUGAGGGUGGGGUGGGGAUUCCACACAGAGACAAAUCUAUGUCCCUCAGGAGAUCUGGUGCAAACCCAUCCGUAUAAGAAGUAUUUCGCUGCUAAUUAAGUUUUGAUCCUUUGGCUUCACUUAAAACAGUUUGAGAGUAUAUCAAGUUGGAGAGCAGGUGCUGACUGGCUUGAAAGCGCUGGUCCAUCAAAUCAGAUUACUGCAAAUCCACUGAGGAAAAAAAACCAAGGAGGCAUCAGAAGCUAAUAUUGGUGACGAGAAGGAUAAAAGCAGAAACCCAGCAACAAAUACUUUGCCUGUUUGAGCGAGAGAUUUGAAACUUUCCCCAGCUUGGAAGAGGGUGCAGAGCAAUCAGAAAAUCUGCACAAGAAGAAAAUGAAGCCAGCACUUUCAUUGAGAAGUUUGGAGCAGGCCCUUCUUUGCACCUGCCAUCUCUGUGCAGACAGAUACCUGUGGCCUGGAAAUGGGAGGUUGUCAAUGGACCUUUGACCCCUGACCAGCAGACAAAGGUUUUCAACU